UUGAACGGUGGCGGCAUGCCUUACACAUGCAAGUCGAACGGCAGCACGGGUGCUUGCACCUGGUGGCGAGUGGCGAACGGGUGAGUAAUACAUCGGAACGUACCUUAUCGUGGGGGAUAACGCAGCGAAAGUUGCGCUAAUACCGCAUACGCCCUGAGGGGGAAAGCGGGGGACCGUAAGGCCUCGCGCGAUUAGAGCGGCCGAUGUCUGAUUAGCUUGUUGGUGAGGUAAAAGCUCACCAAGGCGAUGAUCAGUAGCUGGUCUGAGAGGACGAUCAGCCACACUGGGACUGAGACACGGCCCAGACUCCUACGGGAGGCAGCAGUGGGGAAUUUUGGACAAUGGGGGCAACCCUGAUCCAGCAAUGCCGCGUGAGUGAAGAAGGCCUUCGGGUUGUAAAGCUCUUUUGUCAGGGAAGAAACAGCAGCUCUAACACAGACUGCGAAUGACGGUACCUGAAGAAUAAGCACCGGCUAACUACGUGCCAGCAGCCGCGGUAAUACGUAGGGUGCGAGCGUUAAUCGGAAUUACUGGGCGUAAAGCGUGCGCAGGCGGUUAUACAAGACAGGCGUGAAAUCCCCGGGCUUAACCUGGGAAUGGCGUCUGUGACUGUAUAGCUAGAGUGUGUCAGAGGGGGGUGGAAUUCCACGUGUAGCAGUGAAAUGCGUAGAUAUGUGGAGGAACACCAAUGGCGAAGGCAGCCCCCUGGGAUAACAC
rnacentral:rRNA from 1 species